ensembl:snRNA U6 U6 spliceosomal RNA
GUGCUUGAUUCGGCAGCACAUAUACUAAAAUUGGAACGAUACAGAGAAGAUUAGCAUGGCCCCUACGCAAGGAUGACAUGCAAAUUUGUGAAACAUUCCAUAUUUUU